GUUCUUCCAACCGACGACUUUACUCCUCUUCUGAAGACAUGACCCAUAGUGGAAUGAGCGCAAGUCAUUGACAUUUGCUUUUUUUUUGACAGUUUGCAAAUGGAGUGCAUUACCACCAUCUGCUGGACUGAAAUGUGAUGGCAAGUGUACCCUGUAGCAACACUCCGGCUGCUGGGUGAAUAAGAGAUCAUUUGGAAGGUUUCGGUGGCUAAGCUCACGUGGCAUGUCAUCAUCAACAUCAGAAUGCACUCUUUGGAUUUUCAUUAAGAAUGCCGCGAUGGGGUGCCAGCUGUGGCGCAACUCGCUGGGGCACCUGCACCAUACACCAGC